ACAGCGCCACGGCCUGCUCUCCUGCAGUU
rnacentral:sRNA from 1 species